UGCCAAAAACAAGUAAAACAGAGAUGGAGCUAUCCCUGGUCUCACUUGAAAGAAACCUCCUUAAAGGGAGGAAGAAGCCGUGAAGAAAUCAACGCUGGUCUGCGCCGAAACAUUGAAGAACGAGGCAAUCCAAGGAUCUUUUCUAGAAGCAUACUAC